AUGUUGUCAUAAACGUCCGUGGUAGGCUUGAGUAUACGAAAUCACUACAAGCACUAGUAGAAAAAGAUAAAAACGCACCGACGAAUGCGCAUCGGUUAUUGAAAACCGGUGCCAAAAAUAAAGCCUAGACCACAAAAAUAAAAACAGGUUUAAUAGGGCACCGGUUUUUUUCCAAAAUUCCCUAAAAUUAGAACACGCACUCUCUCCUCACUCUUUCCUCUCUAUCUCUAACUCUCUUGUUCUGUUUCCUCUCUCCUCUCAAACUCUCCAUCUCCUCUCUUUUCUCGCUCCACCGCAGCCACCCCCAGCGCAACCCUCAACUCUCUCCAUCCUAGCUUCCCACCGUAGUCACCACCAGCGCAACCCUCCUCUCUCUCCAUCCUAGUUUCUUGCCACCACCACCGCAGUCGUCUCUAAUGGAAUAAGCCCUUAAAAAACUAGGAGAACGAUGCCUAGAUGUCUAAUGGCGACACUGCUCCUCACAAGCUAUGAAUUUGAUGAAUCAUCAAUCGGAAUGUACAAACCCUAAUAUUAGAAAUGAUGAUGAUGACGAUUCAGGUUGGUAAAAAGGGUACUCGGUUACGUGUGAGGAGACGUUAGAAUAAUCACGUAGCUAAGACAAUUUAGUUUAUUGCCGAAUUUAAUUAUUUCCUCUCAAUUAUUGGUUUCAAUACUUGCAGUUUUGAUGUAAUGACUAUUUUAUUUUGCCACAACUUAGACCACUUAGUUUAUUUAAAUAUUAUGUUAUUUUUGCUUUGCAUUUAUUUUCUACGGAAAAUAAGUGUAGCAGUAACACUUCCAAAGUUCGAUGGUUGGGUUGUUAAAAGUUAAAGGUUACUCUUAUUGUUUUAAAGACUCGAAUUUUGGGGGUGUUACAGUUAUAGUGUAGAAUUUCUCAAUAAAAUAAAACAAAAAUUUUAAUAGCAACCAAAAAUCAAAGGAAUGUAUUUUGGUUAUAUCAAAAGUGAAAAAUGUGA